rnacentral:rRNA from 1 species
GGCGGCGUGCCUAAUACAUGCAAGUCGAGCGGUAAGGCCCUUCGGGGUACACGAGCGGCGGACGGCUGAGUAACGCGUAGGAACGUACCCCAAACUGAGGGAUAAGCACCAGAAAUGGUGUCUAAUACCGCAUGUGCUCUAAGGAGUAAAGCUUCGGCGGUUUGGGAACGGCCUGCGUACGAUUAGAUUGUUGGUGAGGUAAUGGCUCACCAAGUCGACGAUCGUUAGCUGGUCUGAGAGGAUGAUCAGCCAGACUGGGACUGAGAACGGCCCAGACUCCUACGGGAGGCAGCAGUAGGGAAUUUUCCACAAUGGGCGAAAGCCUGAUGGAGCAACGCCGCGUGCAGGAUGAAUGCCUUCGGGUUGUAAACUGCUUUUAUAUGUGACGAAUAUGACGGUAGCAUAUGAAUAAGGAUCGGCUAACUCCGUGCCAGCAGCCGCGGUCAUACGGAGGAUCCAAGCGUUAUCCGGAAUUACUGGGCGUAAAGAGUUGCGUAGGUGGCA